rnacentral:lncRNA from 1 species
UUUAAAGUCUUCAGAAAAAAAACCCAUCCUUUUGUGCCUACCAACUGUGUCAACCUGGUCUGUUUCCUGUUUUUUUUCCUCCAACCUCAGUGUGGUCUGUGCUCAAAGACUGCAAGCCGUGUGACGAAACAGUGUCGUACAGAUCUCACUUCCGAAACUCGAGGAUAUUCAGGGAUCCCCCUUGUUAUAGAGGCUUUUUCUCAUAAAACCAAAAUGUCUCCUCCGGUAAUUAAGCAGGUCUUUAAGAGAAAGGCCUUUGAAAUUUGAAAACGUUGGCAAAGGAGUUUUAUUACCACGUUGGUGUAUUUAAUUGUUUCCAUCGAUUUUGUUUUGUGUAUUUAUCAGGAGCUAGUCAAUGCAUUUGUGAUGGGCAUUUCUAUUGUGUGAGGCCAGUUGCUCUGCUUUUCUCCUUGCACCUUCAUUCUCCAGACUUCCCAGUACUUCAGCUGCUGUUUCAUAUGUUACAAAACACGCUGUCACUGACGCUGUGGCUUGGUCUUUUUCUGCACACUCUGCAUGGUGAUGCAUUAUUUUUUUUACCUCUUGAUCCCACAUAAAAUGAAGGUGCAGCUUACAGCAAAAUCAACAUGUUUGAAUGCUCUGUGUUUUUCUGCUUCUCGGUUGUUGUGAAACUCUGCAGUUUUCCUGCUGCCCUGCCACAUGUUUGGUGGUGGUGCUCAGUUCCCGUCUAUUGUCCGGGUUAGAGAUGUAUAUUUAAAGAGAGAGAGAUACGGUGCCUGAUUGUGGGAGGUAAAUCAUUUGGCAAAGAGAGAACAGGAGAACUCCUUUCGUCCCUGCUUGGACGUCUGCGUCCGUUCACCUCAGAAAAUCAGGUGUGAGACGGGAGGUACAACAAGGCAGAGGCGCGUUUUCAUCGGGGCACUGUGGCGGGGGGGUGAGGGGCUCCAUUCCCCUGGAGGAUGGGACUUGGCAUCGGAUCGGGAAGCAGAUGGAACUGGCACUACGAAGGAGGGGCUCUUGGAUGGCGAUCGGCUCAGCCAUCGUAGUCGGCAGUGCCCGGCGGUCCAAUCCUGGGAUCUGACAAGUCCGAGUGGAAGUGGAGGUGGUGGCAUGCUUGCUCCUGUUCGACCUCCUGAAUUCCUGGUUGGCAUCCUUGGGGAUCACUCGAGAAAUGUUCCAGCUUGAUAGGAUGCGUGCGGAGAGAAACAGUCGGAAAGAUCCCGCCUCACUAGUAAUUUAUCAGCUCAAGGCCUUCUGGGCAGCUCGUACAUAGCUGGUAAAUUGGGUUUGAGCUGCUUUGCUGUUCAGAGUAAACCAUGCACAGAUUAGGAAGUGAACCCUAACCGUGCCGAAUACUGAGCUGUGAGCUGUUUCACUUGUUGGGAAUACGUUUUCCUUCAAGCCUAAGCCAGGCCUUGUGUGUAAGCUAUUAACAGGACCCAGUAACAGGGUGCCUAUAAAACUGCCUCCUCAAAGCUAAAAGAUUUAGGAGUUAACCUCUGCUAUAAUCCACUUCCAUUUCUUAGCAGUCUAUAAAUGUUUUAAGUGCAAACACUGUGCCUCUGGCUUCUUUUGUUGAGUGUGUAAUUCUUGACAUUGAUAUGCCUAUUUAGAAAUCGUUGGAAAUUGUAGCCCCACAACACCCAUGUUUUAUGAAAGUGAUACCAGGUAGGAAAAGUUGGGGAAAAAAAAAGAGAUUAGUAACAGUGCAAUUUCUAUGGUGGCUGCACUAAAACUCUGAAGUGUUUUCUCCUUUCUCAUCUGAUUUUGAAAUCUGCUCACUUUGCGAACUUGUUUUUAACGACUAGAACAACAGAAAAACAUGCGGCGAUCUUUGAUUCAAGACAAGUGGAUGGUGGCUUGGAGAUAUUAUGGCAG